AUCUGAAGCAUUCAAAAAUCUCAAGUCAGGCCCGCAAUAUAAUGCCAACAGGGUAAUUUUGGCCCAGUAACAUGCCCACCUGGCAAGAGCUACCACAGUGCAGCACCAGUAAAGACACAAUAGCUUGGAUAUGGUUUUUCAGCAUGGCUGCUCUUGCCCAGGCUAGGCUAAUUCGGGUGCCAAUCACCCAAGUUAAUGCUGCAGUGAAAACUACCGGAAAUGAAGAAUAAUUCCAGUGCAGUCAGAGGUCAUCUUGUUGCCCAUUUACUCGAUUUUUAUUAUGAAUCUCAUAAUAUUUGGUGUUUUACUUACUGCCCCAGAUCCUGGAGGCAAGUGAUUGUGAGAAUUUCAGCUUUCAUAUAAAAAGGUUACCAACCCAUGAGAGAUUGGAUUCCAAUGAGGGAAUUUGUGGAGUGCUGCUCGUGGCAUCCUCUGAGCAAACGCAUGUUGGUGGAAAGUCAGAUACAGAGAAUUGGAAUGGGCUUGCGCCUCCCCAGCGCUUCCAAGUUUUCUAUCAACACACCACCAGGAGGAGAGGAUCACAACUGAACAGCUGAGAUUCAAGAACGGGGGGCUGUGCCAUCGCUGCUGACUGUUGGUCCUGCUCAUUGCUUUCUAGCCUAUAUACCUUCUUGGUAAACAAAUACUCUGUCAGGCCUUCCUGUCCCCUUCCAUCUCCAACUAUGACAGUAGUAGAAGCAAGCAACAGAACUAGCUGGCCAUAUGCUUGGCUGUUGGAAGAGCUGUCAUUCAGAGGGCUGGCACUCAUGAAGCUGUCUGUUGUAUCAAAUCGUGCAUCUUUGCUGCAGUACAGAUUUUGGAGGGGGCUGCAAGCAGUGGCCCACCUCACAUGGGAGAGUCUUCCUCCAUCCCCCUUGCACCCAGGCUCUGAAGGAUCUGGCCACCUGUAGCCCGCUCAGAUGCCAGGAGUGGCUUGAGAGGCAAAGACAAUCACCUCCUUGCUCUCGCCUGUACUACCCCUCACACGUGGAACCAGAGCCCCAUAAACAUCUGCAAGAUCACCUCACUGUCCACCUCCAGUUCCCUCUUGGAAACUCUUUUGCUGAUGCCUACAAAAAACUUGCCAACAGGCUGCUGGUACUAAUGCGGAGAGUGGACCAGAUGAUACGUCUGAGGGAAGGGAGCAGAAGGAGACUCC